ensembl:miRNA
GGCCUCAGGCCGGCGCACCCGACCACAUGCAUGGCUGGUGGCGGCGUGCAGGGGUCGGGUGGGCCAGGCUGUGGGGCG